rnacentral:rRNA from 1 species
CAAGACCUCGCGCUAUUGGAGCGGCCGAUGUCCGAUUAGCUAGUUGGUGGGGUAAUGGCUCACCAAGGCGACGAUCGGUAGCUGGUCUGAGAGGAUGAUCAGCCACACUGGGACUGAGACACGGCCCAGACUCCUACGGGAGGCAGCAGUGGGGAAUUUUGGACAAUGGGCGCAAGCCUGAUCCAGCCAUGCCGCGUGAGUGAAGAAGGCCUUCGGGUUGUAAAGCUCUUUCGGCCGGAACGAAAUCGACCAAGCUAACACCUUGGUUGGAUGACGGUACCGGAAGAAGAAGCACCGGCUAACUACGUGCCAGCAGCCGCGGUAAUACGUAGGGUGCAGGCGUUAAUCGGAAUUACUGGGCGUAAAGCGUGCGCAGGCGGCUUCCCAAGUCAGAUGUGAAAUCCCCGGGCUUAACCUGGGAACU